rnacentral:rRNA from 1 species
UACGUAGGGGGCAAGCGUUGUCCGGAAUCAUUGGGCGUAAAGAGCGCGUAGGCGGUCCGGUAAGUCCGCUCUGAAAGUCCGGGGCUCAACCCCGGGAGGCGGGCGGAUACUGUCGGGCUAGAGUCCGGAAGAGGCGAGUGGAAUUCCUGGUGUAGCGGUGAAAUGCGCAGAUAUCAGGAGGAACACCAAUGGCGAAGGCAGCUCGCUGGGACGGUACUGACGCUGAGGCGCGAAAGCGUGGGGAGCAAACGGG